rnacentral:lncRNA from 1 species
UUCGGUAACCGUAUCCAUCAUUCGCUGUAAACUAAUUUCAUCAGGAGCCAGCAACACUAUGUCGUCUGCAUAUAAUAAAAUACUAAGCAUAGAGUUGUCCAUCUGUAAACCACAUUUUAGAUCGUUGAUUUUGCUGGCUAAAUCGUUUAUGAAAAUAGAAAACAACGUGGGAGACAGUAUACAGCCCUGUUUCACACCGCUAGAAACGUCAAACCACGGGGUAUUGUCACUGUUGACCCGUAC